CCAGAGACAUUAAAAGUGGUUAAAGAUAACAUAAUAAGUAAUGUAAUCAAGCAAUAGGAGUAAAUGAGGCUUCAAGAGUAGAAAAACGUUUGUAGAAAAGAUAGUAGAGUCUAAAAUGCGUUCAAUGCAGAAAAACUCUACAGCCAAUAACUUGUAAUUAUCUAAAUAUUAUUAAUAUUAUUAUUGAAUUAUUUAAAUAAUAAAGAGAAGUAGUAGCUUCUGUUAUAAAAGCAUGUUAUUCAAUUGACUCAUUCCAGCUGGAAAAAACUAUUUUUUUUUAAUUAAGUUUCAGGAAAUAUCUAGAACUUUAAAGAAAACUUCUCAAACUAUUUGAGGAGACAGGCACGUAAAGGGAAAACAAAACAUUAAUUUCCUGUCACUUGAGGCUUUAUAUGCAUCUUUUUUUAUCUCAAUCCAACGUCAUUAUAGGUUUUUUAAUAUUUAAUGUGAAGUAUUUGACCUAGG
rnacentral:lncRNA from 1 species